rnacentral:tRNA from 1 species
GGUUGUAGCUCAGUGGUAGAGUGUUUGCUUAGCACGUGUGAGGCCCUGGAUUCUAUCCCCAGUGCCA